AACACAACUCUCAGCAACGGAUAUCUUGGCUCUUGCAACGAUGAAGAACGCAGCGAAAUGCGAUACGUAGUGUGAAUUGCAGAAUUCCGCGAAUCAUCGAGUCUUUGAACGCAAGUUGCGCCCGAGGCUUGUCCGAGGGCAUUUCCGCUAGAGCGUCACC
rnacentral:rRNA from 4 species